rnacentral:lncRNA from 1 species
ACCAGACAUGAUGCUUCCUGGAGGGAGGCGGUCUGCAGAGCUAUCUCCGCAGAAGGCAAGAAAUGAAAGUUCUCAAAUCGACUUGCCCGAGAAAGCCAGCCAGAGCAGGGAGGCUCAUUCCUAAAUGACCUUCAGCAGCCGAUCCACCUUAGACAGGACACGUGGCCCAGGGAAGGCUCUGGCGUUCAGCGUCUGGGUUCCUCUGACCUGCUCUGCCUUUUCCACGAUGCACUUGAACUAUGAAGAAUGGAGGCUGCAGGUGUGGAAGUCCGAGGUUAGCCCUUUGCAUAUGCUGUCUCAUGGAGCUCAGGGUUUACCCUCUCAGGGUUUACCCUCUGAAUGUCCUUCUCGCCAUACUGCCGACGAGGGCUUGAAGCUCAGAAAAGGUGCCUCCUUUGUGAAGCAAGAGAUGGGGAUGAGAUGUUGACAAGUGGGGGCAAAUGACUGCCCUUGAAAAUGGCAACAAACCCUUGGAUCCCAUUGUGAGAACCAGCACUUGGCAUCUUGAAGUCAUGAGUCAAAACUGGUCAUGUCCCCACCAUCUCUGGGGUGUUUCAGGCCCCAGAAAUCACAUUUCAGCCCUUCCCAAGGCAAACCUCAACCUCUGUGUUCUGCUUCCUGCCCGACAGCGGAUGCCCACCGCUAACAACUUCCUACCACUCCAGAAUAAAGGUUCUUAUCUGUGAUCUCCUGUCCCUCCUGCUGCUCCCCCGCUGACCCCGGCGCCUCCUUUUCUGGCCCUGCGCGAUGUGGCGUGCCCACCCCUCCCCCUCAGGACUCAUAAGUAAUCAACUCUUCUCCCAAGGCAGUUGUCUGCAUGUCUGUCAUCUUACCAUACUUGAUUAGAACAAAUC